CCUACGGGGGGCAGCAGUGGGGGAUAUUGCACAAUGGGGGAAACCCUGAUGCAGCGACGCCGCGUGUGGGAAGACGGUCCUCUGGAUUGUAAACCACUGUCCCCAGGGACGAAGAUGACGGUACCUGGGGAGGAAGCUCCGGCUAACUACGUGCCAGCAGCCGCGGUUAUACGUAGGGAGCGAGCGUUGUUCGGAAUUACUGGGUGUUAAGGGGGCGUAGGCGGGGUUGCAAGUUGGGUGUCAAAACUACCGGCUCAACUGGUAGUCGCACUCAAAACUGCAGCUCUUGAGUGAAGUAGCGGCAGGCGGAAUUCCUAGUGUAGCGGUGAAAUGCGUAGAUAUUAGGAGGAACACCAGUGGCGAAGGCGGCCUGCUGGGCUUUUACUGACGCUGAGGCUCGAAAGUGUGGGGAGCAAACAGGAUUAGAUACCCGGGUAGUC
rnacentral:rRNA from 1 species